rnacentral:rRNA from 1 species
GUUCGGCGAAUGGGGGAAACCCUGACCGAGCGACGCCGCGUGGAGGAUGAAGGCCUUCGGGUCGUAAACUCCUGUCAGCUGGGAAGAAACACGGACCGGUUAAUACCCGGAUCGUUUGACGGUACCAGCAGAGGAAGCUCCGGCUAACUCCGUGCCAGCAGCCGCGGUAAUACGGGGGGAGCAAACGUUGUUCGGAUUCACUGGGCGUAAAGGGGGCGUAGGCGGCCAGGUAAGUGGGGCGUGAAAUCCUUCGGCUCAACCGAAGACCUGCGCUUCAAACUGCCUGGCUUGAGUCCGGGAGGGGAGACGGGAAUUCCUGGUGUAGCGGUGAAAUGCGCAGAUAUCAGGAAGAACACCGGCGGCGAAGGCGCGUCUCUGGACCGGUACUGACGCUGAUGCCCGAAAGCGUGGGGAGCAAACAGGAUUAGAUACCCUGGUAGUCCACGCCGUAAACGAUGGGCACUAGGUGUGGAGAGUAUCGACCCUCUCCGUGCCGAAGCUAACGCAUUAAGUGCCCCGCCUGGGGACUACGGCCGCAAGGUUA